GGUUAAGCGACUAAGCGUACACGGUGGAUGCCCUGGCAGUCAGAGGCGAUGAAGGACGUGCUAAUCUGCGAUAAGCGUCGGUAAGGUGAUAUGAACCGUUAUAACCGGCGAUUUCCGAAUGGGGAAACCCAGUGUGAUUCGUCACACUAUCAUUAACUGAAUCCAUAGGUUAAUGAGGCGAACCGGGGGAACUGAAACAUCUAAGUACCCCGAGGAAAAGAAAUCAACCGAGAUUCCCCCAGUAGCGGCGAGCGAACGGGGAGCAGCCCAGAGCCUGAAUCAGUGUGUGUGUUAGUGGAAGCGUCUGGAAAGGCGUGCGAUACAGGGUGACAGCCCCGUACACAAAAAUGCACAUACUGUGAGCUCGAUGAGUAGGGCGGGACACGUGGUAUCCUGUCUGAAUAUGGGGGGACCAUCCUCCAAGGCUAAAUACUCCUGACUGACCGAUAGUGAACCAGUACCGUGAGGGAAAGGCGAAAAGAACCCCGGCGAGGGGAGUGAAAAAGAACCUGAAACCGUGUACGUACAAGCAGUGGGAGCACGCUUAGGCGUGUGACUGCGUACCUUUUGUAUAAUGGGUCAGCGACUUAUAUUCUGUAGCAAGGUUAACCGAAUAGGGGAGCCGAAGGGAAACCGAGUCUUAACUGGGCGUUAAGUUGCAGGGUAUAGACCCGAAACCCGGUGAUCUAGCCAUGGGCAGGUUGAAGGUUGGGUAACACUAACUGGAGGACCGAACCGACUAAUGUUGAAAAAUUAGCGGAUGACUUGUGGCUGGGGGUGAAAGGCCAAUCAAACCGGGAGAUAGCUGGUUCUCCCCGAAAGCUAUUUAGGUAGCGCCUCGUGAAUUCAUCUCCGGGGGUAGAGCACUGUUUCGGCAAGGGGGUCAUCCCGACUUACCAACCCGAUGCAAACUGCGAAUACCGGAGAAUGUUAUCACGGGAGACACACGGCGGGUGCUAACGUCCGUCG
rnacentral:rRNA from 4 species